rnacentral:rRNA from 1 species
GAUGAACGCUGGCGGCGUGCCUAAUACAUGCAAGUCGAGCGUACAGACGAGGAGCUUACUCCUCUGACGUUAGCGGCGGACGGGUGAGUAACACGUGGAUAACCUACCUAUAAGACUGGGAUAACUUCGGGAAACCGGAGCUAAUACCGGAUAACAUGUUGAACCGCAUGGUUCAACAGUGAAAGACGGUCUUGCUGUCACUUAUAGAUGGAUCCGCGUCGCAUUAGCUAGUUGGUAAGGUAACGGCUUACCAAGGCAACGAUGCGUAGCCGACCUGAGAGGGUGAUCGGCCACACUGGAACUGAGACACGGUCCAGACUCCUACGGGAGGCAGCAGUAGGGAAUCUUCCGCAAUGGGCGAAAGCCUGACGGAGCAACGUCGCGUGAGUGAAGAAGGUCUUCGGAUCGUAAAACUCUGUUAUUAGGGAAGAACAAAUGUGUAAGUAACUAUGCACGUCUUGACGGUACCUAAUCAGAAAGCCACGGCUAACUACGUG